rnacentral:rRNA from 1 species
GAUUAGCUUGUUGGUGAGGUAAUGGCUCACCAAGGCGACGAUCCGUAACUGGUCUGAGAGGAUGAUCAGUCACACCGGAACUGAGACACGGUCCGGACUCCUACUGAGGCAGCAGUGGGGAAUAUUGGACAAUGGGCGAAAGCCUGAUCCAGCCAUGCCGCGUGUGUGAAGAAGGCCUUUUGGUUGUAAAGCACUUUAAGCGAGGAGGAGGCUACUUGGAUUAAUACUCUAGGAUAGUGGACGUUACUCGCAGAAUAAGCACCGGCUAACUCUGUGCCAGCAGCCGCGGUAAUACAGAGGGUGCGAGCGUUAAUCGGAAUUACUGGGCGUAAAGCGUGCGUAGGCGGCAUGUUAAGUCGGAUGUGAAAUCCCAGGGCUUAACCUUGGAACUGCAUCCGAAACUGGCAAGCUAGAGAUCGGUAGAGGUUGGUGGAAUUCCCGGUGUAGCGGUGAAAUGCGUAGAUAUCGGGAGGAACAUCAGUGGCGAAGGCGACUUUCUGGAUCAAUACUGACGCUGAGGUACGAAAGCGUGGGGAGCAAACAGGAUUAGAUACCCU